rnacentral:rRNA from 1 species
GAUGAACGCUAGCUACAGGCUUAACACAUGCAAGUCGAGGGGAAACGGCAUUGAGUGCUUGCACUCUUUGGACGUCGACCGGCGCACGGGUGAGUAACGCGUAUCCAACCUUCCCAUUACUGUGGGAUAACCUGCCGAAAGGCAGACUAAUACCGCAUGGUCUUCGAUGACGGCAUCAGAUUUGAAGUAAAGAUUUAUCGGUAAUGGAUGGGGAUGCGUCUGAUUAGCUUGUUGGCGGGGUAACGGCCCACCAAGGCGACGAUCAGUAGGGGUUCUGAGAGGAAGGUCCCCCACAUUGGAACUGAGACACGGUCCAAACUCCUACGGGAGGCAGCAGUGAGGAAUAUUGGUCAAUGGACGUAAGUCUGAACCAGCCAAGUAGCGUGCAGGAUGACGGCCCUAUGGGUUGUAAACUGCUUUUGUAUGGGGAUAAAGUCAGUCACGUGGAUUGUUUGCAGGUA